AAAGAAAUUUUAAUCUUUCAAUUUCGCCCCCGUUUGGUCACCGAAAGCUCUACCGAACUGUAAUCUCUAGCAGAUAGCAGUCGGAUAUUAUUUCCCACCUUCUGGGUGUCAGAAUGAUAUGAAACUUUAAAUCUAGUCUCAUAAAAAUAAUUCUGACAUAUUCUCUAAUUUUCAUAAUUUUCUGACACUGUGCAUUUUCUGCUAAAAUAUCAGCUCUGUUUCUCACAGAAAAUUCUAAAUCUUCUGUUUUCGUUCCGAUUUCAGCAUGAGCCAUUCCAGACUUAUAUUUUACCUCUUUAAAUCCAAUAAAAAUAGUAUCUCACACUAUUUUCAUUUACAUUCACUUUUAAAUUAAAAAUCCGGUAUGUUACAUUCUCCACCCUUUAAAAAGAAUUUCGUCCGCGAAAUUCAAUCCACGCCUCAAUUCAGCUCCUUGAGCAAUUGAGGGCACCAAUGCACUUUCCCACUCCGAAAUGGCCUCACGUUCACCGGAACGAUUCAAAGGCCCGCUACGGAGGAUACGAAAUCAAACGCAUACAUGUUUGUAAGGCGCAGCACAUAAAGUGCAUUACGGUCUCCAUAAUUUUCAGUGGCAGCGCAAGUCGAAACUGGACGACUCUAAGCGCUCCAACACCAUGUGUCACCUGGCACACAAGGCACUCUUCCUUGUAUUUACCUUUCCUUUAGGGAAUACAUCCCGAUUCGAUCACCGACAUUGCUGCAAUAUCACCGGUGCAUCGCUCCAUCGUGAGUGCUCCAAUUCCGCACUGAUGGCCCACCUCGACGUAUCCCAAUUCCAAUUCUCAAACUACACAUGGCUUCCCACUAGCUCAAGGUCUCACCAAGAGCACUUCAUCUCCUGAUACCAUAUGCCACGGUCAAUGUCAAAUCACUUUCGCAACGAGCUCACACGAACGUUUCGUUCGUGAACUCAAGUCGAACUCCUCGACAAGGCUAUUCGCCAAAUCGCUUUUCUCAGUUUCAUAGGUGGCCUACAGACUGCCAGUGCCACAAAGACCUAUCGCCUAACCUGUCUUGAUACGCAGCGUCUCUCGCUCUCAAAUGCAAACCCAAUCAUCUUUGGGCGAAAAUUCUCACUUGGGAAUUCGCACACACUCCAACCAGGAGCAACUAUGACCCCAAACCACUAUAAAUCCUCGGAUUGACUCACAACCGAACUCUCGGUACACUAUUGACCACACGAUCUAGUACGUGGCAUUCCACAUACCCUGGUCUAAGCUCGGACUACCGCCCCGACCACAACUCUGCCCCUUCGGUAGGCUGCUGUCACACACAGCCGACUGCGCCUGUUCACAUGGACCCAGGCUCUACAGUCCACAAAUGGUCCAGGUACGGAUCGUCCCCAAGCAAUACCCGCUACCGUCAUCACACACGACACUCUCUACGAACAACACGUAUCACUACCGGCUCCUAAGCACCUAGUGCGAGCCACCAGCCCUACGAGUGAUCCAUGGCAUGCUUCACACCUAGCAACGCUCAAGUGCUACUGCCAACACACUCACUCGGCCGAACCAAAUCCGCACUCCACGAGUACCUAUACUCGAGCGUUGUAUGCUACUAUAACGUUCUACACUAAGUCUUGGCUUUGGGCAAGAUUGCCCCCGCGCACCGUCUACCAAACACAUUCUCCUACCUCACAUUGAGGUACAACUAGGCCCACAGGACAAACUUGGCUACUAACCGACUAUUCCGUCAACAGUGAUUCUACUUUCACUGUUCGACCUACCGGAAUGACAUCCGAAAUUUCCGGAUUACUCAGGUGUCCUCAAAUAUCACGGCUCAACUCUCGCAAUCUACUAAUCAAGUUGCUCUGAGAGUCGCUUCACCAUUUCCAUCUCUAUCAUGAGUUUUAUCAUCUCUCACCAUAGAUCACUACUAGCACUUCGCUGGUGCCAUCUGGCUCUAUACCUGUACUGGCAGGUACUACGCCCUCACAACAUGAGCAUGCCCGGGUAUCUAUACUUACCCGUUCACUCGGUCUCUAUUAUGCUCAUGCACGACAAUAGUAAUUAACCACAUAACCAUUGCAUGUAAUGCAUCAACUUCACAUCAUGCAAAACACAUGCUUGCAUCAAUAACUCAUACCUGCAAUGACGUCGUCAGCAGCAGGUUCCUCAACAUGGGUCGCGUAUCUACAGCCACCCGGUGCUCUUCGCGAACCCCUAGGUUGCAUUGCCCUCAACGCCUUCUCUCCCGACCAUGCCGCAGGUGGCACACUUGCAGGCCGUCCUAGAGAGGAAUAGGCUGUCGCUAGUGUCAGGCCCCGGCUGUCACCUUGCGGACACUCGUCCAGCGCACAGCCCGGUUGCCCACACCUGUAGCACUUGCCCUCUUACAGCUCACACUGCUGUGGGUAACGAAAACACCCACAAACGACACAUCUCACCAAGGACCGAAUACAGUAGGUCCCCAGAACUCGGGAUCACGAGCGCGAACACAUUGCACUUAGUUGAGAACUUAACGGACCGCUGAAUCCACUCGUUGGCCGUCCUAUUCCCUUUUUUCUUGCAACAAGACUCACGCUCCCCCCGCACAAUUGCACCACCUUGUUCUAUCCACAAAGUCUAAUCCUCAAAUCUCCUCUAAUCUCCACCAAUCCACACUCAGGAAGGGCUCCUAGAGAAAUAGAGGGAGAAAAACCACAUGUUGGGUGGUCUCUAACUGUGAACAAGAGAGGAGGAGUCGAUGGGGUCUUUAUAGGAUGUCACAAUCGCAUUUAAACCCUUUCCCCAUUCAUAUUUGUAGUAGACCAAAGUUUGCUGCGAAGGCCCCUUCGUACCGGUACAACCAUCAACUGGUACCGGUACAUCUUCGCGCAUCAGCCCAAACCCGAGAGUUGCUGUUUCGGGUUUUACACUGUGUACCGGUACACUUCUAGUCUGUCACCGGUUACAACAUUUCGUAGAGGCAAACCCGAGAGCUGUUUCUUUCGGUUUACGAUGCUGUACCGGUACACCCCUGGUGUUAAACCGGUAACACAAGUUCCAGAAUAUCAGUUUCGCGCCGUUUCGGCUCUAUUUCGCGUCGAUCGAUGCUAAAACCUUCCUAACUCCUUUGGAACUCAUUUUUAAUCCUUCCAACAUUGUUGGAAUGUCAAUUGAAUUUUGUCCAGCUAUUUCUCUCGACGCACUUUGGUCAAUUUGACCAAAAGUGAUCUAACACGACGAGAAUUCCGUUAAUUUCUCAAAGGUCAUGAGGGCUACCAAAGCUCACGAAGUUCCAAGUCUCUGCUCGCCUCAAAUUGCCCAGGGACACCACUUGGCCCAUUCCGCGCCGAUCUAAACGAAGAUCGCCUACGUAGUGCUAUCGCUUCCUAAAUUGUGACAACUCUAGUCACUCCUCGACCCUCCGGGUCGAACAUGAGGCAAUUAAUACCGACCUCAAAUCGGGCGAAAGUUACGCAAGGGCGUCUAUUCUCAUCACUCGGCUUCAUGUUGUGUGCACCCAACAUGAACACCCUCGGUUGAGAAUAAACCUCGCCUUGAGUCAACCUCUAACAUCCGUUUUAGAGGUUUAUAACACAACCCAAUCCAUAAUCCUUUCGCCGCAAGUCACAAGUCAUCGUCUCUCACGAGCCUUAAUCUCCUAUGGUUUACUAUCCUAGGGUCUCCUAGGUCCAACUAAACCAUUUCUAUUAUUCUUUUUAUGUUCUAUUUUAUUCUCUGAUACCAUCUUAUCUAUCACGCCCCGAGCCCGCCUAUUUGGUCGGUUUCGGGCACGCCAGCAGACCGUCGAACGGACAGGGUUUCCCCUGUACCGCGGACAGAGUCUCCCCUGUACGUCCAAGGCGUCAUAAUCCAAACAAUGCAAUAUACAAGGUUCCAACCAGGAACAGUAUUCAAACAAGGAUUGCAUAAGAAAGUAUCAAAAACAUAAUUACAACUAUGUUAUUACAAGCAUUCAUCUCAAAUUUUAUAUAUUACAUGCAUCUUACAUUUCAGUCUUCCAAAUACAAUCCAAAUUAUUACAAAUUAUUAAAAUCUUAUUCUUUUCAUUACUAAACCCCUAAGCUAAGCCGACUUAGGGUACCGCUAUCUCUGAUCUCGGCGGUAGGGCGCUAACUAUGGAGCUACGCUCUUGCCUCGCGCCGCCGCGCCGCUCACGUGCGAACCUGUACCUCCAAAAGCAAUACAGGGGUGAGAACUAUUGUCCAUAGUUUUUAGUGGGUACGGCCAUUCAAGGAAAAAGCUCGACCCACCAGGUCCAAAGGAGGCACUGUAAACAUGUUAGUCCAACAGAUAUCCACAAAUAUUCAAUGCAAAUAUUAAAUAUAUGUUUAUGCCUGAAGACAUGCAAUAUAUAAAUCAUGCAACUCAUAUAAGUAGAUUUAUUGAUUCUACUCUCUAUCAAUUACCAUUCUUUAUAUUAUUCGCAAUUCUUUAUCACUCGCCAUUCUUUACUCUUUAUUCUUAGCCACAUUUUGCUCAAAUGUCAUUCUUUCCUAAGGUUACAUUUACCUUAGCCAACUAUGCCACUCGACUCGGUCUUGAGUCAAUUCAUGAUGAAUGCAAGAUUACUGUUUAGAUCCCAAUCUCUAGGCUAGCCCGUAGGUUUCGCCCUCAAUAGACUCACCAACUCAAAUCCCAGUAUCGGAGAGGCUACUAUACCCGACGGGACCGUCAUCUGGAGAAGCUACUACACCCAGUGAUGAUAACUCCGGAGCACAUCGCCCGAGGGGAAGCUACCACCCUCGAGCAAAGACUUACAGGUGAGUAUGAUCCAAUCCUUAACUAUAAGGAUGUCUAGUUUAAUCCAUUCCUUAACUAUAAGGAAAUAAUGCACAUAUGACCCUUAACUCUAAAGUUAUUAUGUCAUAAUGUCACUAUCAUUCUUUUACUUGCAUUCUUUACUUUCAUUAGUGUCAUUUACACUACUUGUUCUUUAUACUCGUUUUCAUGCACUCGAUUGUUCUCAUUAAUGCCACACACACUAAGUGUUCUCUUUCUAGCAUUCUUAAGCAUUGAUUAUAUUCAUUAAUGCCACUCAUACAUUUAUGUCAACAUGUCACUUUAUUUUUAAGUUUUCAUUGUUAUAUCAAAUGCCACAAUGUCACAAUUCCACACGUAUAUACUUUUUAGCACAUUUCACAACUUUCCAUCAUGCAUACUUCCAUCCAGCAUACUCCACAAUGUCAACAUGCAUAUUCAUCUAUCAUAUUCCACUAUAUGUCUAUAUAUAUAUACCAAACAUUCAUAUGCCAUCUAACAUGUUCCAUAAUUUAUCAACACGCAUAUUACCUCUAACAUAUUCCUCAAUGUAUUAACAUGUCUAUCUCAACGGUAGGUGAUAAACUUCAAACAUAAUAAGGUUCAUGCAUCCAUAUUACCUUAUGCAAUCUACCACUAUACAUGUAUGCAUCAAUAAUGAAAUAUUACUUUGCUUCGACAUGGAAGCGAGCUAGACAUUUCGGUGAGCACAACCACCUCGUAACGCUCUCCGAUUGCUUGUAGUCAUUUGCAAUCGGCCUUCCGCGGCACCCGCCGCCCGGUUCGGCCCGAUCUCACGCUCGACCACCGAAUGACCUCCAAUCCACAAUCCGAAAAUUAAAAGUCUAUAACUUGAUGCCACGAUGGUCCGGAUCCGUUCUCGUGAUUUUUGGACGUCGCCUCGGCCCUCCAGGCGAAAAUGAAGCCGAAACAUCUGUUUCUUUAAUAUCUUCACACCGGCUCGACGAAUCACCGAACCGACUUCGCCAACGCGUCGGAAUAUCUAGCAAUUAGGUUUAUAUAAGUUCAAUUUAGAUCAAACCCCAUCUAUGACAAAAUUCCCAUUUCUAAGCCCUAACAUGUACAUAUACUCCAAAUGUGCCACAAUCUCAUGGAGAAAACAUGCAUUUAGUAGUCUAGGGAUCAUUAGAAUACUAAGCAUAAAGGAUUUAACCAAAUCCUAAACACUUACCGAAAUUUGAACGUCGAGACGGAAGCACGCCGCUCAAACGGCCGCACGAGAACCCGAACCGACACCUCCAACGCAUUCCCAAGCUUCUUCUCCACCAACCCUCAAAUUUUUAGAGAGAGAUCUAGAGAGAUGAGAGAGAUAUUUAGAGAGAGAAAGGGAGGUUUCUUUCUCCCUCCAUGUGUGCGUGUGUGGGCUGGUGUGGUGCUCGGUUGAGGAAGAAGAAGGAGAAAAGCUCCUUUUGUUACACAAUAACCACCUCAACAAUACACAAUUUAAUUUCGGUUUAUCAACUCAAGUAUAGAUAAUUUUCGCCUGCCCUUCUGAAUGUCCGUUUGAGCUCAAAUUUGACAGUCAUGCUCGGUUUUACUUAACUUAAGGAAAGAAAUUUUAAUCUUUCAGUUUCGCCCUCGUCUUGGUCACCGAAAGCUCUACCGAACUGUAAUCUCUAGCAGAUAGCAGUCGGAUUUUAUUUUUCCACCUUCUGGUUGUCAGAAUGACAUGAAACUUUAAAUUUAGCCUCAUAAAAAUAAUUUUGACAUAUUCUCCAAUUUUCAUAAUUUUCUAACAUUGUGCAUUUUCUGCUAAAAUAUUAGCUCCGUUUCUCACAGAAAAUUCUAAAUCUUCUGUUUUCGUUCCGAUUUCAGCACGAGUCAUUCCAGACUUAUAUUUUACCUCUUUAAAUCCAAUAAAAAUAGUAUCUCACACUAUUUUUAUUUACAUGCACUUUUAAAUUAAAAAUCCGGUAUGUUACAGUAUAUAUAUAUAUAUUU
rnacentral:lncRNA from 1 species